CCGUGCCCAAGAGAUCGGGAUAACACCUGGAAACAGAUGCUAAUACCGGAUAANAACAGAUGAUGCCUAUCAACUGUUUAAAAGAUGGUUCUGCUAUCACUCUUGGAUGGACCUGCGGUGCAUUAGCUAGUUGGUAGGGUAACGGCCUACCAAGGCGAUGAUGCAUAGCCGAGUUGAGAGACUGAUCGGCCACAUUGGGACUGAGACACGGCCCAAACUCCUACGGGAGGCAGCAGCU
rnacentral:rRNA from 1 species